rnacentral:rRNA from 1 species
AUCGAACGCUGGCGGCAGGCCUAACACAUGCAAGUCGAGCGGAGCGGCGGACGCGUGAGUAAUGCCUAGGAACCUGCCUGGUAGUGGGGGAUAACGUCCGGAAACGGGCGCUAAUACCGCAUACUAUCAGAUGAGCCUAGGUCGGAUUAGCUAGUUGGUGGGGUAAAGGCCUGCUAAGGCGACGACCCGUCACUGGUCUGAGAGGAUGAUCAGUCACACUGGGACUGGGACACGGUCCAGACUCCUACGGGAGGCAGCAGUGGGGAAUAUUGGACAAUGGGCGAAAGCCUGAUCCGGCCAUGCCGCGUGUGUGACGAAGGUCUUCGGAUUGUAAAGCACUUUAGGUUGGGAGGCGUUACCAACAGAGUAAGCACCGGCUAACUUCGUGCCAGCAGCCGCGGUAAUUC